AAAAUUAUUAUUCUCACAUACAUGCUAUAAACAGAUGUUUACAGAUCGAAGCAUAUUCUGGCAUACACAAGGCGCUAGCUAGAUCUAAGCAAUUGGUAGUUGCCAUGGAAACAAAUUUCAUGGAGAUCGGAGCAAACAAUCUAUGAUGAGAUGGAAGGAAUCUUCAUUUAGCAAACACUUCGAGAAGCUGGCCAAAAAGAAGAUCAUGUGUAGUACUACAAGGCUACAAGGCAACUAAAGUUGCACCGGAAAUAAGGUUCCUCACGAUUGGAAACUAGUCUUUUUAUGGAAGCAAAUUGCAUGCAUAUGGAAGUCCAUAGUAUGGCACCUAAUUAAUCUCAAUUAUUUUCAUAUCCGU
rnacentral:lncRNA from 1 species